rnacentral:lncRNA from 1 species
GUCAAGGUCACUGGGACUAUGGUGUUCAGAGAAGCACUAACCAGAGAGAUAUAUUUGAAACCGAACCCAGUUGGAAGUGUAGGAUUUGGAUAGGUAAAGAAGAGGAGAGAGGACAUGAGUAGUGGGAGGAAAGGCAUUAGAAAAGAAUGUGGAGGUGGAGGUGUGUUGACAUGCCAGUGAAGAUGCCACUGUGACUGGCAUGGAAGGUUUUUGUAGGGGAGUAGUGUGUGUCACUUAAGCCAAAAGGAAGACCUGGAGUUCAUAUGCUGAAUUUAAACCAUUAUUUUUGACUCUCUUAUUACAGUUUGGUGUUUAUCCCAUCACAGCUGCUUUUCUGUUAUUGUUCUAUUCAUUUUGACUUUAACUAGAAAUUAUAUGGGAUAAGGAGGUUUUAGGCAAUAAAUAGCUAAUAUUUUGGUGUAUUGAUUUUUUUUUUAAAAUGUACUGCAUUUUAUUACAUAGAAAUAUUCUUAGUAUAAUUACAUAUGUGUGUGUGUGUAUAUACACACACAAAUAUAUAUAUAUAUAUACACACACACACACACACACAUAUAUAUAUUUCUUUUUUUUAGACAGAGUCUCGCUCUUGUACCCCAGGCUGGAGUGCAAUGGCAUGAUCUUGGAUCACUGCAACCACCACUUCCAGGCUUCAAGCUAUUCUCCUGCCUCAGCCAGUGUAUUGAUUCUUGAAGAUCCCUCAAGACUGGGACCAGCUAUAAUCAGGAAUGAUCUAGGAGGCUGACAAUGGAUUCUAGUGCUGGAUCUGCCCCUUGCUAACGUUUGUGAGUAAGCAAUUAACGUUGCUAAGCCUCCCUUGCCUCAGUUAUGUAAAGAAGAUAGC